rnacentral:misc_RNA from 1 species
UCCAGCUUAUCGCCGGCAGUCUUCCUAGAGUGCCCAGCUUGACCUGAUGGCAACUAAGAACAAGGGUUGCGCUCGUUGCCGGACUUAACCGAACAUCUCACGACACGAGCUGACGACAGCCAUGCAGCACCUCUACCUUGAUUCCCUUGCGGGCACCCCCAACUUUCAUCGGGGUUCCAAGGCAGUUCAAGCCCCGGUAAGGUUCUUCGCGUUGCAUCGAAUUAAACCACAUGCUCCACCGCUUGUGCGGGCCCCCGUCAAUUCCUUUGAGUUUCACCCUUGCGAGCGUACUCCCCAGGCGGGGCACUUAAUGCGUUAGCUGCGGCACCGAUCCCGCCCGUGGCGAAAUCAACACCUAGUGCCCAUCGUUUACAGCGUGGACUAC